AAGAAGGAAUUCAAAAUGCAUUGUCUUGCCAACAUACGUGCCACAAUGUUUUUCUUUAGUGUCGCAGUAUGGGUGCAAGAAGUGUUGGAAAAUAAGAUUUUUUUAAAAAUAAAAUUUUCCUACACACCAGAUAGAUGUCCUGGUGUCUUGAAGAAGUGUCAGUGUCUAAUUUCUGUAGAUAUUUAGGUUUCUGGGAGCAAUAUAUAUAUAUAUAUAUGUUUGAUAGAAAAAGAAACUUUAUUAAAAAGCAGAAGGAGAAAAAGAUACAAAAAGAGGAGAACAAGAAGUCUUCCUCCAAAAGAUAAAAGAAAAAGAAACUGAGUCAUCUUUAAAAAGCACUCUAAUCUCUACUGAUAUCUUGAAAGCAGCACCCCACAAACAGCCAGCACCAUAAGCUUAAGGGGAAGAAAUUAAUUCUGUCCCAAAUGAUUCCCUCUGAAAAUCUCUACCGAAAGCUUGUUUCAUUUUUUCCAUGUGAUCCAGAUUAAGAAUUUAAAAUGCAGUACUAGUAAUCAUAUAAAACGUCGUGUUGUGCACUUUGCAACAAGAUCUUUUAUCUAUUCUUUGGGUUGGAGCAUGUGGAGUAUGUUUGCUGUAUAGAAGUUUUUCUUCUUCUUUUGGGGUUAUGACACGGAUUUGGGAACUGCAGUUUGAGGUUUCAGUUUUUGCUAUGUUUGCUGUAUAGAAGUUUUUCUUCUUCUUUUGGGGUUAUGACAUGGAUUUGGGAACUGCAGUUUGAGGUUUCAGUUUUUGCGCCGUGAUUUGUUGUUUAUGGUUGGGCAGAAUGCUUUAAGGAUCUUGUUCCCUCCACCAUACCAUAGCAUUUACUCUAGGAUAGGAUAUUUUUUUGGUCCAAACUUUUUCUUCAGGGGUUCUUAGAGGAAUGAACUUGCUGAUUUUCAGGGUGAUUACUCUGUUUUUCAUUCCCCAUUUGCUUUUAAAAUUGUUCUUUUUUUAAUAGCAAAAGAAGAAUAUUUCAUUAAAAGAUUAGGAAUGCACAAAGAGGAGAGUAAGGCAUCCUUGUAGAAAAAACCUAGAAAAAACGAGAAAGGAAAAAAAGAAAAAACGAAAAUAGCCACCACAGGGUAAAUUACAGAAAACACAAAAUCAAGCCAGAAAAUGGAGUCAAAUACAUUGAAUAUCUGAGGAGCUCACUCCUUUAAAGCACCUGUAGGCAAACAUACUAAAGUGAAGGCAGAUAGUGAAUCUUCCCAAACCAGCAAAGAAUUCAGAUUCUUCCCCAGAAAAAUAUCUGCAUUACGCCCCAACCAUAAACUCCACAUCACUGCAAAAUAAGCUCAUUUGCAAGGGCUUCCUGAUCAUUUCUCUUUCCAAAACCAAAAUAGGAACUGCCAAAAAAUCCUCUGCUGUUUCCAGGCAAAACUAGCUCUCUCCCAAUAUACCAAGUAGGCAACAUUUUCCAGGCAAAGUCGUAGUGCAGAAAUAAAUGUGACACUGGUUCUGAACUGUUAUAGCAAAGAAAACAAACAUCUAGGAAAAAAAUGCCUUCAAUGAUCACCUACUCUGCAGCAAGUGAUUGGUGACUCUAUUAAGCACGACCAAUCACACAUAAAAGCCUUAACUUUUGGGGGGAACUUUGGCUUUCCAUAUAUUUUUUUUUGAAGUGGGAAAGAAAUAUUAGAAUGGGUCAAAAAAUUGCAUUAGGAUUUGCAAGAAACAACCCCCAAAGAAUCUGAAGACCAAGAAUGUCUAUCCGCUCCCAAGGAAAUAUGUAGGAUUUACAAAAUUGCAAGAGUAUUUACAAAAUUGUCAUGCAUACAAUGAACCCACAACAACAACACACAAAGAGGAGGAUUCUCCCCUGCGCCGUUGUAGCAUUUCUUGCGGCUUGGGAUAAUACAUUUCUCAUGUAUAUGUGCUGUGUUCCGUGUUUACCUUGUCCUUAUUGUCUUAAGUGUUAACCCAAAUGGAGGAUGAUAUGUUCACAACAAUAAUAGCAUAAUGGACUAAUGAGCAGGCUGCACAUAAUCUUCCACAUCUUUGCGGAAAUUCUAUUAUGCAGUAUGGACAUGUGUGUUAAAUUUGCAGUCAUAUCGACUCCUACUUGGGGCUCUUGCAGCAAACCCUGUUCUUAUCCUCCUACUAUCAUGUCUGCAGUGAAAAAUCCUGGAAUAGUUGGUCCCCUUGAGAUUCCCUCGUAAUCAUGGUUUCAAAAUGAGAUUCGGAUUGGAGGAUCUUAUGAUCCUAUGAUCCAGAUUUACCCAUGCAAUCCAGAGUCAGGAUCAUACGAUCAGGUCUCAACAAGAACUCUGCUGUCAAGAACUUUGCAAACUGAACUCCAGAAGACCAGAACUGACUGCUAACUGCCAGUUACAAUUUUUGAAUUUUUAUUGCUCGAAUAGUCUAACUACAGUUGCAGUUUUGGCAAAGAAGCAGAGAAGCUUUUUAAUAGCUUACAGUCCUAAAAUGUUUUUUAAACCUCUUAUACUCAGUUACUCACCUUGUUUUUAGCCUUAAAAAAUUGUCCUAAAACUCCACAUACAUAAAUUUUUAAUAGUUGGCUGGUGUGGAAAGCAGAGUCAUUUUUUGUGUUCGUGCCUGGUGGCGCAAAAGGUGAUGGGCCUGGCUGACCAUUAGUAACUUUUCUUUUUCACUCCAUCCAAUUGAACUUCAUUCCUUCUAGGAGUAUCCAGCCACAAACCAUGUCAUCCAAAAUAUUAUGGGUUACAGUAUCCCGUGCACAGACCUCCUCCAGAGUUGUUGGUAACUUGGUAUAAUACAUCCAUCUGUUGAUUAAUGCCAGCCAAAUCUACACCCAAUUCCCCCAACUCAAAAAUAGAUAAACCCUCCAAACCUUCAAGCAGAGAAGCAUAUAGGAAAUAUCCUGAAGUGCAUCAAAAGAAUCAGAAACCCAUUCCAUUUUUUCGCGAAUCUCAUCCUACAAUAAACCACCAUUCCAAGCAAACUCAUUGUCGUACUCUCCUCUGCGAAGAUAUUCCUCCAUUUUUUUUUUCCUUCUAAAUUGAUUUCUUCCUCUUUCUAAGUUAGACUUAGAGCGAUUCUCAAAUUCCCCACCCAUCAUAAAGCUUUCCAGCAUCAUCAAUUUUUUUCAAUGUUAUUCUCUGCUGUUUUGAAUUCAUAAUUUUUUUUAACAAGCAAACUUUUCAUACCUUUCCCUUCCUCACUCUUUGAAUUCAUAUGUUAUUUUUUCCAUCCUUAUUUUUCCCCAAAAA